GAUGAACGCUGGCGGCGUGCCUAAUACAUGCAAGUCGAGCGAACAGAUGAGGAGGUUGCUCCUCUGACGUUGGCGGCGGACGGGUGAGUAACACGUGGAUAACCUACCUGUAAGGCUGGGAUAACUUCGGGAAACCGGAGCUCAUACCGGAUACUAUAUUGAACCGCAUGGUUCAAUAGUAAAAGACGGUUUUGCUGUCACUUAUAGAUUGAUACGGGCCGCAUUAGCUAGUUGGUAAGGUAACGGCUUACCAAGGCAACGAUGAGUAGCCGCCAUGGGAAGGUGAGCGGCCACACUGGAACUGAGACACGGUCAAGACUCCAACGGGAGGCAGCCGUAGGGACUCUGGCGCAAUGGGGGGAAGACUGAUGGACCAACGCGGCGACAGUGAUGAAGGUCUUCGGUUCGUAAGACGAAGUUAUUAGGAUAGAAAAGAGGUGUAAGUAACGAUGCAGUACGUGACGGUACCUAAACAGAAAGCCACGGCUAAAUACGUG
rnacentral:rRNA from 1 species